UACUGCUAUCACCUUAUACUUUAAUGAACUCUCAGGAUUUACGUCUAAGCAACAUUCUAAUUAAACGCAAUUCUUAACAUUUUAUAAACAGAUCAAUUUAAACUCUGUAUUUUAGAGUUCUCUUUGUGAAAUAUUAGUUUAAAACUCGUCUUAAGUGUGCUGUGGGGCCGCAAGCCACGCGAGUCCUGAGGAGUUCUCAUUGAGAAGCCACGUGUCCGUUUCCAAAGCCUCUCCAACUUAAACCACCUCCAUUGUACCGCGAGCCCACAUCGGCAGCGUCCUUCCACAUAAAGGGAUUUGCAAUUUCAAGAUAUUCCAGCUUAAAUGUUUUUGACAGUUCCCUCGCUUUUACUCGGGCUUGGUUAUUUUAGCUGUGCCAAAUGGGUCACCUUGGGUAGCUGUCUGCGCGCAAAGGGCUUUUGCGCGCAUUCAGGCUGAAUUUUUUCCAACUUUCCUUGACGGGGAAACCAGCUGCUGGUCGUGAAAAGACGGCUUAUUAAUUGUCCUUUGUCAUGCAGAAUUGCUUGAUUUCUAAAGAAACGUACAAAGGCUCUUUUUCAGGAUUCAAGUAUUUUGUUUCGUGCGCAUUUUCAACCCGUGGAAUCAGCUGCAGCGCCGCACCGUCUACCAGACCCAGCCUGCAGUAUGUCGAAGAGCCUAAAAAGAUAUAUGUUUAACUGGAGCAAGAAAUUCUGAGGAAAUCAUGUCGUGGCCUUGAAAAGGGGAUCCGAAGACGGAGAAUACUCUUAUAUACAUAGAGUGCGAAGACGAGAGGAUACAUACAAAGAUAGCCUUGAUUAAUAGGCGCUCCACUGGGAGAAUCUCUGAUAGGUCUCCAAGCGCGCCCGUAACCUGUCCCACAAGCCUUGAGAUCUUUUAGUGUGACACGAUAAUGUGUCUAGAUCGGAGAACCAAAUCAAUAACUAAAAAUCUACUAGAUGAAGUUGUUUGCGAUUACAAUUUUUCCUAUAUUGACCUUAUCAUAGACGUUCUGUAUGAGUUUACCAGUCCUCCGUGCUUACAGGUGUCUACAGACCGCGAAGAGCAGACACGUCUUGCCCUUUCAUGUGAAUUAAUAAUUCUUUUUCAACGUACCUAUUGUAAUUCAGGGUGGAUGUUCAGCUGCAUAAAUGAACUAUCAGCACUUACCUACUACACCCAAGGCGCCAACCUUUCCAUCAAAUUAAGUACCUUGCUGGAGCGGAAAAUACAUUGAUCUCUUAUUUGACAAAAAAGGAAACAAUAAUAGGUUAAAUUAUAACAGUAGGGGCAAAAAUACAGAACUGGAACGAAACUUUUUUCAAAGAAGAUUCUCGUUUAUUACAUUAUAAAACACUGUCGGCAACGAAUUACACUUUAUCAGAUUAUACAAUUUCAUGGAAUGCGUCAUUGGUACAUUUAAGUGCACUAUAUUUAUAAGCGUGUGUCCAAUACAAAUGUGCCGUCUUGCUUGUUUUUAAGCAGUGGUUUAUGAGAAUAUAUUUUCCCCACAUUGGCAACUCAUUUCAAGAUGGAAAAAGUUGUGCCAAAUUGGCUGUAAAAUGUACUGUAUAAAAUAAAAUGUGACUUAAUGGUUAAAAGUAUAAUACGCAGCCCAGUUUGAACCAGUGACGUGUACAAUACCAUGUGCAAGCUAGACAUGAAAUUGGUGACAAAAUUAUAUUUUCUAUGGUACCCAAAACGGGAGUGAAAUACGCACAUGAGAGAAUUUUCGCUAAAUACGACUGUCUUCGCAAAAGUUAGCGGAGACAAACUGCACUUUGUUAAUCAGACUGUCGUGAAAUUAAAUGGUGAUAUGUAGUUGUGGAUUAAGAAGAAUUCUAUUCACUUAUGAACUGUAUCCAAAUACAUAUCCUAGAUAAACGAGGUCAACUUGAUUAGUAUAUGUCUUACCAAGAGUAUUUGAA